rnacentral:tRNA from 1 species
CUGGGUGUGGCGCAGUUUGGUAGCGCGCUAGACUGGGGGUCUAGAGGCCGCAAGUUCAAGUCUUGUCACUCAGACCA